GACAAUGCAAUGUCACAUAUCCAUGAAAUCCUCAAAAGGAGGCAAAAGCAAGUGUCAUUGGAUAGGUUACUUGUUAAAGUUACACACGAAAGAAAGAUUCCUUUGAGCCAAUAGAUAGCAGUGAUUCUACUAGUGAUAGCGAAAGUCAUCCUAAACAAUAACUCUCCUCUCUCUUAUCUCCCUGACACCAGCCACGAAGGCUUUCAAAGGUAAGCGCAGGUUAAUUUGUUUAUUUUUCUUUAUAUUUUGUAUUUUCUUUAUUAUUUUAUAUUAUAUUACAUACAAACACUUUUGAAUGGA